AGAAAAAAAACCCACAAAAACUGCAUUUAGAAACAGUUGAGUCCCCCCCCCCCUUCCUCACAGUGGUUUGACCCACUGCCUGCUUUCCCAGUACAUCUCACCUACUCUGCACACACGAGUCAGAAGCCUGUUGCACAAAAGUAGAAUUAAGACAUUCAGGAUAAAUGAUUGAGCUGAGCUCAAUGAAUCCAACACAAGUGCUUCCAGGCUUAAUUGGUUGCACAAAGACGAAGCCAGGAUGAGCAGACACAGAUUCAUCAAGCCAGGUGAAACCAAUCGUGGAUAUGUGCACGCUCACGGCUCAUUAAAACAGACCCGCCACCGAUCACAGAUUCACUGAUUCGCCAUGGCAACUAGAGCGGCGUUUCCCCAUCGGAGGCACAAAUCCUCAUGGAGGCACACAUGGAGGUAAAAGACACAAUUAAGAAGAAAAGCAAGACCACCACAGUGAUAAAGCAAAGAGAAAAAGCGUGGCAAAGUAUUGCAGACGCCUGAAUGCGUGAAUUCUCUGGUGAGUUGCUGGGUGAACCCCAGGAAGAACAGCAUGCCUAUAACCACGCCCAUGUCAGGACUAGGGCCAGAGUUGAAAUGACCUUUGGCCUCCUGAAGGCACGCUUUCACUGCCUUCACAAAUUAAGGGUCAGCCCUGUGAGGGCAUGUGACAUUACUGUGGCUUGUGCUGUCCUCCACAAUGUGGCCUGCCUGAGGAAGGAAAGGGCCCCCAGAGUGCCACCAGCCAUGGACUGGGACAAUCCAGCAAUCUUCCCUGAUGAUACCCCUGUGGUCGGCUGCUGAGGGACCAAUAUGUGUUGAAUUAUUUUAUUUAGAAUGUGUGCUUUCAAUUUUGGUUAAAUAUGUCCUGUGCUGGCAGAGGAAUUUAGGGGUUUUUUGUGUUCUAAUAGAAGCUUGCAGGGAGAACUGCAAACAGACUGCAUCCGUUUAUUUGGCUGUUCAGUUGAUGUGUAUGGAUUUGUCCUGUUUAUUUCAGUGUGCAGACAUGCAGGUUAUAUACAGACCUCUGAAUGUGUGUUUAUCCUUUUGUUGUAUAAUAUGCUUUGAUUCUGUGCUUUCCAUCUUGUAGAGUCACUGUGUUUCCAAAGGAGCUGAUGGUUUACCUGCUUUGUUUUAUCCUUAUUCAGUAAAGAAACAUAAUGUUA